AACGCACAUUGCGCCCCUUGGUAUUCCGAGGGGCAUGCCUGUUCGAGCGUCAUUACAACCCUCAAGCACUGCUUGGUCUUGGGCUCCGCUGCUAACCCGGCGGGCCUUAAAAUGAGUGGCGGCGCCAUCGGGCUCUGAGCGUAGUAAAUUUCCUCGCUACGGAGUCCUGGUGACGGUGGCCAUCAACCCCCAACUUUCUACGUUUGACCUCGGAUCAGGUAGGGAUACCCGCUGAACUUAA
rnacentral:misc_RNA from 1 species